rnacentral:rRNA from 1 species
AAUAUUUGACAAUGGGCGAAAGCCUGAUCCAGCCCCGCCGCUUGUGUGAAGAAGGUUNNNGGAUUNUAAAGCACUUUAAGUUGNGAGNAAGGGCAGUAAGUUAAUAUCUUGCUGUUUUGACGUUACCGUCAGAAUAACCACCGGCUUACUUCGUGCCAGCAGCCGUGGUAAUUAGAAGGGUGCAAGCGUUAAUCGGAAUUUGUGGGUGUAAAGCGAGCGUAGGUGGGUCGUUAAGUUGGAUGUGAAAGCCCCGGGCUCAACCUGGGAACUGCAUCCAAAACUGGCGAGCUAGAGUACGGUAGAGGGUGGUGGAAUUUCCUGUGUAGCGGUGAAAUGCGUAGAUAUAGGAAGGAACACCAGUGGCGAAGGCGACCACCUGGACUGAUACUGACACUGAGGUGCGAAAGCGUGGGGAGCAAACAGG